rnacentral:lncRNA from 1 species
CCGGGCUGGACGGUUGGGAAGGAAGGUCGUGGACAACAAAGUAAUGAACAAAAAUAUGUUUCACGCAUGAGAAGCUGUCCGAGAUGGCAGUGAGGGAGAGGUCAUGGCAAACGGUGUUUAUGGCAUGGAAAAGUGAAGAUUCAAAAAAAAACCCAAGGAGAGGCCAAGAUAGUGUGGAAAAUAUCCACCCCCUCCCAGAGACAGCUCAUUAGGAAGGUUUUGGAGGGAGACUCGCAGGAGGUCAGGGGCUGCUGUGUUAUCUUUGGAGGAAAGGCCAUCCCUUCUCUUCCCCUCCGCAGACGUAUCCAGUGAGACAACUCUCUCCCCAGCAAGCUUUUCUCAGGGAGCAGGCAGUUUCUUGAAAAAAUGAACCAGAUGAGGAUCCACCCACCUCCAGAAACAAAGACUGUGGCUGUCUCCAAGAAUGAAGCACCAGUCUCUUAGUUGGUAUCCCCAGGAGACCAAGGUAAAUUGUAACCACUGAAAGUCCGCUGUUUCGAUUCUGGGCAAGAUGCUAUGGCAGAACAGGGACCAUGAUGAACUACUUAGAAAAAUACAUAAGGC